rnacentral:lncRNA from 1 species
GCAUGUGGAAGUUCCUGGGGCAGGGGAUUGAACCCAUGUCAUAGCAGCAAUCCAAGCCACUGCAGUGACAACACUGGAUUCUUAACCUGCUGAGCCACUGGGGGAAUCCCUUAAUGUUUUCUAUCAGACCAACUGUACUUAUCCUAACUGCCCCAAUCUCUAUCAGUCCAUUCUGGUCUAAGUUUGCUUUUUUUGUUUGUUUGAUUACAUAGUAUCUUCUCUAAAAUCCCUGGGUAAUCCCUGAGAAAAAUGAUAAUUUUCUCUCUAUUAUUAUUUUAAUAAUAAUUAUUAUUAAAUACUUUUAUAGUUUUACAGUCUAUAAUACACAUUAGCCUUCCCUCUCUUCUUCAACCCAUCUAUUUGGCUCUUCAUUCAGUCAAGCUAUGAUAAUCACUUUUUUUCUAUAUUCAAGGAGCUCAAAAUGUAAUGGGGAAGAUAGACAAUAUGUUGUGAGGAGUAGAAUAAUGAAUUUCAAUAUUAAUUAGAUAACAUGUGUAAAAUAUGCUUGCCUAAAUGAGCACCUGGCCGGUAGUAUGGAUCAUCAAAUAUUAGAUAUCCUAUUAUAAGGUAUAAAGAAUAUCACUGAGAAGAAGGACGUGAUUCUUGAGUUAUGUAUUCAAUGAUGAACUGGAGAUUUCUGGGAGAUAAGAGGAGGAAUAAACUUUACAUUCCUUGUCAAGGAAACAACACAACACGUAUUAAAGCCAAACAUGGUGGAAUGCAGACUAAAACAGCAUGUAGUUUUGUGAACUCCAAGUAUUUCCAGAAAAUAAGGGGAGAAGAAGGCAAUGGAUUGGUGGGCUAAGAGGUAAAUCUUGUAGGCAGAUGUUAGUGAAAAAUCUCCUUUAUACAAUGCCAAGUGUUGCAUUUGAACUUGACUCUGGAGCAGAAAGAAUUUGUUUUCAAAUUAUUAAAUGCCUACUCUGUAGCAGAUGGCAUCAUAGAUACUUGACAUUAUCCUAUUUAAACUUCAAGAGAGAUACCAGGUAGAUAGAUAGCAGUCUGACUUCACUGAUAAUGAAAUCAAAGGGUCAACUGUGAAACUAGUACAGACAAAGUUUGAAUGAAGGUCCACUGGACUGAAAGUUCGUAUUCUAUUAUACCACCUUUUAGAAGGGAUUGAAUGAAGUUGGUGGGAGGUAAGGGGUAGCACUCUGACAUGUCUUAAGAAAAUGAAUAAUGUGAAUAAAUGUGCUUUUUAAAAUUAUAACUUUGCAGCAGUGUGGAAAAUUGAAGGAAGAAGGAAGAACCCAGAAGCAGAAAAUCCCAUUAAAACCUAAAGCAAUAAUCUGAUGAGAGGUGUGAGUCUAAACAAAGAUAAUAGGAAAUUCAAAGAAAAUGCUGAACUUGAGACCUAUUUGGAAAAAAUAACUGAUACCAUCAGCAUUCUCAAAAUGCUCAUGGGCAUUUUAUCACAUGAAACUCAUGUUAUGGAGGGUCAACCAUCACAUAUAACAAUCCAAGGACAAGAGGAGGGGAAAGAAAGAGCGAAGAUUUUGCUACAACUGGUCAUUGGUCCUAGCAAGGAUAUUUUAAGAAUGAGCUUUUCAAUAUCAGGCUACAGCUCAAAAUUUAACCUACUUUUUAUAGCAAAUAAGGAAACAUUCCCAGAGCUGAUGAAUAAAAUGAAAUUAGAGGCAGGUAAAGGAUAAAUUUAUCUGCUAUAAUCAAAGAGGCUGUAAUCAAGGGAGAAAGUUAUGAUUUUGCCACAGUUAGUAAAAGAGGAGACCAGGAUGGGUUAUAGAAGCGCUAUGUUAAUGUGCAGGUUGAGGGUUUGGAGGCAGUUUUUAUAAGUUAGUUCACAGAGAUUCUUUAUUCAACUCAAAUAUUUACCUAGUGUUUGUGGCUGCCCAGUAGCCUGGCUGGGCAGUGAUGAAUGCCUCUUCCAGGAUCCCAGCAAUAAUGUUUUUUCAAAAUGUGUAUUUGGAGCCUUAAGGAAUACAAGACCAGAGUUCCCGUCAUGGCCCAGUGGAAAAGAAUCUGACUAGGAACCAUAAGGAUGUGGGUUCGAUCCCUGGCCUCACUCACUGGGUUAAGGAUCUGGGGUUGCCGUGAGCUGUGGUGAAGGUUGCAGACGUGACUUGGAUCUGGCAUUGCUGUGACUGUGGUGUAGGCCAGCAGCUGUAGCUCUGAUUUGACCCCUAUCCUGGGAACCCCCAUAUGCCAAGAGUGCAGCCCUAAAAAGCAAAAAAAAAAAAAAAAAAAGAAGAAAGAAAAGAAAAAAGAAAUAUAAGACCAUGCUGUGAACAAAAUUUUUUAUUUUUAAUACACAUUUUGACAUGUUGAGGACUUUUUAAAAUUAGUAUUGCCUGUUUUUAUUCUACGAACAGGAUGAGUGUGCUUUAGAGAGAUGCAGAGGGCACUUGAGAGUAUACAGGGACCUCUACUAGGGGGCAAUCUGUUCUCAUGGUGUUGGGGAAGAGGAGCUCAAAAAGUCCCCUGAACUGGAGUACCCACUGUGGCUCAGUGGGUUAAGAACCCGACUAGUAUCCAUGAGGAUCGGAUUAGAUCUCUGGCCUUGCUCAGUGGGUUAGGGAUCCAAUAUUGCCAUGAACUGCAGUGUAGAUUGCAGAUGUGGCUCAGAUCUGGCAUUGCUGUGGCUGCGGCACAGGCCAGCAGCUGCAUCUCUGAUUCAACAUCUAACCCGGUAACUAUGCCUUAGGUGUGGCCCUAAAAAGAAAGAGAAAAAAAAAAAUCCCCUGAACAACAUACAAAUAGUCUAGAGUCCCAGGUGGUUCAAGGGGAAGCUGAAUGGCCACCAAAUGAACAUGCAGUUUCCCUGUGUCUGCCAGGGGGAGAAAGUUCUAACAGUCCAGUUUAAAGAGGGGAAGGAUGGUAUCUUUGAUUCCCAGGUCGUAAAGCCAGACACUCCCUUCAAAUGAUCCCUUACUGACAUCACACCAACACCAAACAAGACAGCCUUUCUUGGUGGUGUUCCAGCAAAAUCACUCCAUUGUUUCCCAUGACCUGCAUUAGAGGGAUUUUAUAAUAACACAGUCCUGAUUCUUAACAAGCAGGUACCGUCACAUCACCACUUCAGGCAUAUUACAGAAAACAGACACUUGUCUUCCUUUCUCAGUCCAUGACAAGGAUUUUAAAGUCAUGAGAAAGGCUUAUAUAAUUGUAAGGGAUGCAACUGGACAGAUCCUACAAUGCCUGAAACCUGGAUUUGUGUGUUCCUUAAUGAUUAGAGUAGGGUUGAUCGCCCCGGCUCAUUCUAGAAGUCCUUCAUCUGACACCAGAAGGACAGCUCACUGCGUGAUAGUGCUGCCCUAUAGUCUUUGCUCUUCGUCCCUCUUCGAAGCCCAUCUUCACCUCCCAGAAGGUGCCAGAUACUCCUGGUGUCCCUUUACGACUGUUCUCACCAGCCCACCUUGAUAUAGGACCUUCUGGACUUGACUCCUCCACUAAUGAGAGUGACCUCUUUAUCAGAGUGGACUUACCAGAUUUGCCUGGGCAUAAACACAGUUCCCUGGUAUUACAAGUACCAGGAGGGUGCCAGGACAAUUGACCUGAGGCUUCUGAGAGAUGCUGAACAAAAGUAAAUUUUUCCUAAUUCACAGAUUUUAUUGCAAGGUCAAAUUAAGGCUAUUAAUUCAGCCACUUUUUGUGUAACUUAGGUAGCUUGGUAGUUCAACCUGCAUAUGUUGCUGAGCUUCUUGGGAAAUGAAUCAUGUAAUUGAGUUGUAAGUAAAUGAAUUGAAAAAACACUCAUGAGUAUUUUCUAUGAGACAGAAUUUACCCUUGCUAGGCAAUGGUAAAUUUGAAGUCAGAUCCUAUUAUUUUCCUGGAAGAACUCCAGUCUGGGGAAGUAAACAAAUAAAUAUCCCCAAACUCUAAAAAGAAGACAGAGUAUUAAAAGUGGUAGAGGAGAAGUUCCCAUUGUGGUGCAGCAGAAACGAAUCCAACUAGGAACCAGGAGGUUUCGAGUUUGAUCCCUGGCCUCGCUCAAUGGGUUAAGGAUCCAGCAUUGCCAUGAGCUGUGGUGUGGGUCGCAGACACGGCUUGGAUCUGGUAUUGCUGUGGCUGUGGUGUAGGCUGGCAGCUGUAGCUCCAAUUAGACCCCUAACCUGGGAACCUCCAUAUGCCACAGGGAGUAGGUGACAACGCUGGGAUUUAAGCCCCGUCUGUCUGGGGCCAAAGGCCCAGCUCUGUCCAUUAUUUUGCCCCCACACUGGUUCAGAGGAAAAUGCCCCUCAUUUUGGUUUAAUUUGGUUCCUUUAACCUGUCUUUCUCUUGUCCUGAAAUGCUGAUUGACUCUAACCUUAUUUUUUAAAAUUACAUUUUGCCUGUUCCUUUUAUGCUUUUUUUAGUAGAAAUAUGUUAUAUCAUCUCAGGUAUAAGGACACUUCUUACAGCUCAAGUAGAAGAUAUCACCCUUCUGUAUUUUCUUCUGCAGAAUAACACUAAUUUCUGUAUUUCCAUUACCAUUCAUCAAAGUUGCUAACGAAUUCCCUAUGGUCAUCUAGUUAAUUGGCUAAUUUUGCAUUCUCCAAAGCAAUGUCUUUUAAACAUUGAAAUAAAAAGGCCGUAAUUUCACAUAUGUGGAAAAUAGUCUUAUUUUAUUGUAUACUUGAUUUGCAAAUUUUAAAACUUAGAAUUUUAACUUUUGUGUAUCUUCAUGAACUUAUAUUCCAUAUAACUAAAUAGUGACUUUUCAAGUUUAAACUGUUAUUUAAAAAUAUUAGUUUUAUAUAUAUACAUAUUAUUACUUUUACGGUUUAUAUGACAUUCUAUGAAUAAAAUCAUGCAUCUUAUAAAUAUUUAUAGAACCUGAGAGUCACAAAGUGUAUCAUAAUACAUAGUUGAUGAUAUUACAGAGGCAAAGUGUAUUUAGCCAUACAGGCCAUAAUUAAUAAAUAAAUUAAUAAAAACAAGGAUAAAAAAAUUUAGAAACUAUAACCAGUGCCUUAAUAUCCCCCCUCUUUUAAAAAAUACGCAAAGAAUCUGCAUCACUUAAAAGCAGAGAGCUUUCGGAGAUGUAAUAUGAUAAUCAGCUGUGGAGAUCAAAAUUUUAAUGGGCCAUGCUUUUCAGAGAUAACUAGAAAAUGAAGUAAAGCACUUCCUGAAUUCGUUUCUGUUGCCUGAUACAACAGUUUAUCUCAACUUAUGCAGGCCACCAGUGAUAACCCACCAAUGUGUAAUUUCAAAUGUCCCACGUUGGAUAAUGCACAACUUACUGGUGAAACCGUUCCAUAUGACUAACAAUUUAAUGUCUUAGACAUAAAUUAAAUCUUGCCUAAUAAGGCAUGGUACAUGAUGGAAAGCCCGUUACAUCCAUUCCUUCCAACAGAUAAUUGAUGCAGCCAAGAGACAAAAGAAGGAAUUCACCCUAAAAAAUAAAUGCUUCACAAAGCAAUCUCAUGCCUCACCUAAUGCAAUAUGUUUCUCCUGGGUCUUUUGUUACUCUGUAACAUAUUAAAUUAUCCUCCCGAUUACCUUGGCAACUAAAACAAGAGCACCUAAUAUGCUGACGACUUUUGGAUGAUUACACCAGCUGUCAGUAAGAAAUGAUAAUCAAAGUAUCUUAAUUAUUAAGCAAAAUGAGAAUACUCAAAGUGUUCGUUUUUUAUCAAACUUGCGUCUAAACUGGAGAGAGGAAUCCUUCUACUGACAAAAUUCUUCUUCCACCAGAGAUCAGCAAUGUGGCCCCUUUUUUCUCUGGGGCUGGUAGACAGCUGGAUAAAUUGCAACAACCUUGGAGAGGUGUCAUCUCCCCCUCCCCUUUACACCCCAGUUCUUUCCCUGGGUCUCUUUAGUUAUGAACGUAGCAGAAUGUGAUGAUUUAAAGCUACAUUUUUAGCAGGCUUACCUCCAGAACAAUAGCAAUAAUAACAAAGAGUCAGCCGAAUCAAGGGUCUUUAAACAGCUUAAGCUUUGUAAAAUUGUCCCUUUAUUCUGCUUCUUACCGUCUCCCCCCAGAGGUUAACCAUCUUAAAAGGCUGGCAUUUAGACCGAAAACAGGAACAAAGCAUUACUAGAAAGCAGAGGGCUCUUCCUCCAGCACCAGCAUCUCUGCUUCCCAUAAUUCUUAAGAAAUAUAACAACUCAAUGAAAAAGAACCGAUACCUUUGAAUGAGAACAUUCCAGCAUAGGAAUAUCGUCUUGUUGGCUGCUGUGCAGAAU